GGUUCACACUUUUGUGUGAGCGGUAGAGGAGCGUCGUAAUCGGGCUGAAGUCGUACCGUAAGGAGCGGUGGACUGAUUACGAGUGAGAAUGUUGGCAUUAGUAGCGAGAUGUGGGUGAGAAUCCCACAGGCCGAAUACCUAAGGUUUCCUCAGGAAGGUUCGUCCGCUGAGGGUUAGUCGGGACCUAAGCUGAGGCCGAAAGGCGUAAGCGAUGGACAAUCGGUUGAUAUUCCGAUACCACUAUUAUCGUUAUUAUCGAUGGUGUGACGGAGAAGGAUAGGAUGUGCUAGCUAUUGGAUGCUAGUCUAAGCGUUUAGGGAGUUAGGAUAGGCAAAUCCGUUCUAACAAUUCUGAGGCGUGAUGGGGAAGGUUCUAAGGAACCGAAGUAUCUGAUUCCAUGCUUCCAAGAAAAGCAUCUAGAAAGAGAAAUAGUGCCCGUACCGCAAACCGACACAGGUAGGUGAGGAGAGAAUCCUAAGGCCGGCGGAAGAAUUGCAGUUAAGGAACUAGGCAAAUUGACCCCGUAACUUCGGGAGAAGGGGUGCCUGCGAGAGCAGGCCGCAGAGAAUAGGCACAAGCAACUGUUUAACAAAAACACAGGUCUCUGCUAAAGCGAAAGCUGAUGUAUAGGGGCUGACGCCUGCCCGGUGCUGGAAGGUUAAGGGGAACACUUAGCGUAAGCGAAGGUGUGAACUUAAGCCCCAGUAAACGGCGGCCGUAACUAUAACGGUCCUAAGGUAGCGAAAUUCCUUGUCAGGUAAGUUCUGACCCGCACGAAUGGCGUAAUGACUUGUGCACUGUCUCAACUGCAAAUCCGGCGAAGUUGUAGUGCGAGUGAAGAUGCUCGCUACCCGCGAUUGGACGGAAAGACCCCGUAGAGCUUUACUGUAGCUUAGCAUUGAAUUUCGGUAUUGUCUGUACAGGAUAGGUGGGAGACUGGGAAAUCAGAGCGUCAGCUUUGAUGGAGUCAUCCUUGGGAUACCACCCUGAUAGUACUGGAAUUCUAACUGGAUGCCAUGAAUCUGGUGACAGGACAUUGUUAGGUGGGCAGUUUGACUGGGGCGGUCGCCUCCUAAAAAGUAACGGAGGCGCCCAAAGGUUCCCUCAGAACGGUCGGAAAUCGUUCGUAGAGUGCAAAGGCAUAAGGGAGCCUGACUGCGAGACCUACAAGUCGAGCAGGGACGAAAGUCGGGCUUAGUGAUCCGGUGGUACCUCGUGGGAGGGCCAUCGCUCAACGGAUAAAAGCUACCUCGGGGAUAACAGGCUGAUCUCCCCCAAGAGUUCACAUCGACGGGGAGGUUUGGCACCUCGAUGUCGGCUCGUCGCAUCCUGGGGCUGAAGUAGGUCCCAAGGGUUGGGCUGUUCGCCCAUUAAAGCGGCACGCGAGCUGGGUUCAGAACGUCGUGAGACAGUUCGGUCCCUAUCCGUCGCGGGCGCAGGAAAUUUGAGAAGAGCUGUCCUUAGUACGAGAGGACCGGGAUGGACCGACCUAUGGUGUACCAGUUGUUUCGCCAGAAGCAUAGCUGGGUAGCUAAGUCGGGACGGGAUAAACGCUGAAAGCAUCUAAGCGUGAAGCCUCCUUCAAGAUGAGAUUUCCCAUAGCGUAAGCUAGUAAGACCCCUUGAAGACUACAAGGUUGAUAGGUCAGAGGUGUAAGU
rnacentral:rRNA from 1 species